UCCUGAGCAGCUCAGUGGCUAGAGCAUUUGGUUCUUGGAUAGGUGUUUGAAACACAUGUAAAACCUAUUCGUCAAAAGGUCGCGGGUUCGAUUCCCGUCUCAGGAG
rnacentral:tRNA from 1 species